UACGUAGGGUGCAAGCGUUAAUCGGAAUUACUGGGCGUAAAGCGUGCGCAGGCGGUUGUGCAAGACAGAUGUGAAAUCCCCGGGCUUAACCUGGGAAUUGCAUUUGAGACUGCACGGCUAGAGUGUGUCAGAGGGGGGUAGAAUUCCACGUGUAGCAGUGAAAUGCGUAGAUAUCAAGAGGAACACCUGAGGUGAAGACGGGUUGCUGGGCUGACACUGACGCUGAGGCGCGAAAGCCAGGGGAGCAAACGGG
rnacentral:rRNA from 1 species